CAGUCGAACGAAGCACUUUAUUUGAUUUCCUUCGGGACUGAUUAUUUUGUGCCUGAGUGGCGGACGGGUGAGUAACGCGUGGGUAACCUGCCUUGUACAGGGGGAUAACAGUUGGAAACGGCUGCUAAUACCGCAUAAGCGCACAGCAUCGCAUGAUGCAGUGUGAAAAACUCCGGUGGUAUAAGAUGGACCCGCGUUGGAUUAGCUAGUUGGUGAGGUAACGGCCCACCAAGGCGACGAUCCAUAGCCGACCUGAGAGGGUGACCGGCCACAUUGGGACUGAGACACGGCCCAAACUCCUACGGGAGGCAGCAGUGGGGAAUAUUGCACAAUGGGCGAAAGCCUGAUGCAGCGACGCCGCGUGAGCGAAGAAGUAUUUCGGUAUGUAAAGCUCUAUCAGCAGGGAAGAUAAUGACGGUACCUGACUAAGAAGCACCGGCUAAAUACGUGCCAGCAGCCGCGGUAAUACGUAUGGUGCAAGCGUUAUCCGGAUUUACUGGGUGUAAAGGGAGCGCAGGCGGUGCGGCAAGUCUGAUGUGAAAGCCCGGGGCUCAACCCCGGUACUGCAUUGGAAACUGUCGUACUAGAGUGUCGGAGGGGUAAGCGGAAUUCCUAGUGUAGCGGUGAAAUGCGUAGAUAUUAGGAGGAACACCAGUGGCGAAGGCGGCUUACUGGACGAUAACUGACGCUG
rnacentral:rRNA from 1 species